rnacentral:rRNA from 1 species
AGUCGACGGGACUCUUCGGAGUUCGUGGCGGACGGGUGAGUAACGCGUGAGAUUUUGCCUUCAGGUUGGGGACAACCACUGGAAACGGUGGCUAAUACCGAAUAAGCCAAACGGUGAAAGAUUUAUUGCCUGAAGAUGAGCUCGCGUCUGAUUAGCUAGUUGGUAGGGUAAUGGCCUACCAAGGCGUCGAUCAGUAACUGGUCUGAGAGGAUGAUCAGUCACACUGGGACUGAGACACGGCCCAGACUCCUACGGGAGGCAGCAGUGGGGAAUUUUCCGCAAUGGGCGAAAGCCUGACGGAGCAAUACCGCGUGAGGGAGGAAGGCUCUUGGGUCGUAAACCUCUUUUCUCAGGGAAGAACAAAAUGACGGUACCUGAGGAAUCAGCAUCGGCUAACUCCGUGCCAGCAGCCGCGGUAAUACGGAGGAUGCAAGCGUUAUCCGGAAUGAUUGGGCGUAAAGCGUCCGCAGGUGGCAGUUCAAGUCUGCUGUCAAAGACUGGGGCUCAACCCUGGAAAGGCAGUGGAAACUGAACAGCUAGAGUGCGGUGGGGGCAGAGGGAAUUCCUGGUGUAGCGGUGAAAUGCGUAGAGAUCAGGAAGAACACCGGUGGCGAAAGCGCUCUGCUAGGCCGCAACUGACACUCAUGGACGAAAGCUAGGGGAGCGAAUGGGAUUAGAUACCCCAGUAGUCCUAGCCGUAAACGAUGGAUACUAGGCGUAGCUCGUAUCGACCCGAGCUGUGCCGUAGCUAACGCGUUAAGUAUCCCGCCUGGGGAGUACGCGCGCAAGCGUGAGACUCAAAGGAAUUGACGGGGGCCCGCACAAGCGGUGGRGUAUGUGGUUUWWUUCGWUG